rnacentral:rRNA from 1 species
UACGUAGGGUGCGAGCGUUAAUCGGAAUUACUGGGCGUAAAGCGCACGUAGGCGGCUUUGUAAGUUAGAGGUGAAAGCCCAGGGCUCAACCCUGGAAUUGCCUUUAAGACUGCAUCGCUUGAACAUCGGAGAGGUAAGUGGAAUUCCGAGUGUAGAGGUGAAAUUCGUAGAUAUUCGGAAGAACACCAGUGGCGAAGGCGACUUACUGGACGAUUGUUGACGCUGAGGUGCGAAAGCGUGGGGAGCGAACAGG